GGGAGGGGGAGGGGAGUCACUGAAUGUUUCGUCCUUCCUUAUACUAAUGCUAGUGCUUUAGAAUGAGACUUAUGCCUGCGAUCUGGCAAACUGAAAAACGUUGCUAUUGCAACUAAAUGACAGAAGCUAAAAGUAAGGAUUUAUCUUCUGUGCUCUUUAUUUUUGCCGGACCAGUUUGCGGUUAGGAGAAUGUGCCUUUUUUGUACCUUUGCAUUUAGGUUUUAUAAUUUUAACUGAUGUAUGGACACACACAAACAAACAAAAGAAGCAUGAAGGAAGAUUUGGAUCCAAGCAGUGCCACACUUUACAUCAUCACUACAAGUGUUAAGUGUAAAGAGAAACCAAUUUUGAAACUAUGAAAUUCCUGAGUCAUAAAUACACAGUUAUUUCUACUUUAGUACAUAGAAGAUAAUUCACUGUUAUUCAAGCUCUUUUAUGGAGCCAAUGGCAUACGUUUGAAAAGCAAUGGUAAAUUAAGUUGUCUUCCAAAACUGUGUACUUGUCUGGUCAACUGCGUGUGAUCAGUUAUCUACCUCAGAGUGUGUUUUCUUUUGUGCUGGUACAGGUUGCUGGCCCUCCCUGUUUCCACAGACCAAAUCCUCCUAGCUCAGGAGCUAGGGCUAAGCAGUUUUUUCUUUCGAGUAUUUUUUAGUUCUUAAAUUUUAUGCUUGUAUUUGAUUAUAGAUGUCAGUGACAUUUCAUAGUUUCAAAAGUCCUUGCUGCUCUGAGAAGUGUAGAUUCUAGUGAAAAUUACAUAGUCAUAAGAGAAAUGUGUUUUGUUUUUGUUUUGUUUCCUUUUUUAAAGUUGUGGUAUUAUUGGUUCUAUGCUCCCUGGAACGUUAACUGCUUUGUGAAAGUGCAGACUGAGCGCAGCGCCCUCCUGUACGUAGUGCGUUUGUAAACCUGGGUCUCUCACUACUUGAUAUUUUUGCAUUAGUUAAGACAGGAAUUUGAUAGCUCGGUUAGAGUGGAGGGAUGUCUGCUGCUAGAAAUGUCUGAACUAAGUGCCAUACUCGUCUGGGUAAGAUUUGGGAAACAUAACCUCUGUACAUAAAAAAAAAAUCAGUUAAACAUCACAUAGUAGACAGCCAUUAAAUUAUAAAAAAAAAUUAAUUUAUGAAGAAAGACCUUUUGUACAGAUUGAAAAAAAAAGAUUUUCAUAGAGAUAUCUAUAUGAUCAAGAGAGUUAAUUUUUUAUUUUUGUUUAACUAGUGCCACAAACUUGCCAGUGGUAACUUAUUUGUCCGGUUCAAGAUAACUCUGUAGUUUUCUUUCCUAGGAUUUGUUGUUAA
rnacentral:lncRNA from 1 species